ensembl:snoRNA LOC120102051 small nucleolar RNA SNORA17
CCUGCCCUUAGAGGCAUUGCAGGUGUGGCUGCUGUGUCACGUGUGUCAGUCGGUGGCUGAAAAGACAGAGGAUAUGUCUAUGCUCAGCGUUCUGACCUGUGAACAUCUGAAUAAUUAAUAGCCUAACGCC